rnacentral:rRNA from 1 species
AUUGAACGCUGGCGGCAGGCCUAACACAUGCAAGUCGAACGAGUGGCGGACGGGUGAGUAAUGUCUGGGAAACUGCCCGAUGGAGGGGGAUAACUACUGGAAACGGUAGCUAAUACCGCAUACCAUCAGAUGUGCCCAGAUGGGAUUAGCUAGUAGGUGGGGUAACGGCUCACCUAGGCGACGAUCCCUAGCUGGUCUGAGAGGAUGACAAGCCACACGGGAACUGAGAAACGGUCCAGCCUCUUACGGGAGGCAGCAGUGGGGAAUAUUGCACAAUGGGCGCAAGCCUGAUGCAGCCAUGCCGCGUGUAUGAAGAGGGCCUUCGGGUUGUAAAGUACUUUCAGCGGGGAGGCGUUACCCGCAGAAGAAGCACCGGCUAACUCCGUGCCAGCAGCCGCGGUAAUAC